AUCAGUCGGUAAAGGAGAUUUCUGGUGGCGCGUCGCCCGAGUGUGGUUGUCAUCUUUACAAUUCGAAUUCUGGCAUUAUUUUUUUUAUAGAAUUUGGAUUUUCUUUAGCUCAAAGCAGUUUCCGAGUGAAUACGCAUAUAAAGAGUGUUGCAGUUCAGAAUAGACCAACAGCCGUCGAUUAAAGAUUUAAAAAAGUCCAGAAAGAGUUCAAACUACGGCAACAUUUUCGGUUAUUUGGGAUCAGAAGGGUCUGGUGGCCCAGAAGCGCGAAAGUCAUCACUGUUUCGUCGCCAAAUUCCACUUUUUGCGAGAAGAUUGAUUAGGAAUGAUUAUUGACUGCAAAACUGACCACUACUCGUGUUUUCUUCAGUUGAAAUUUGAUUCACAAAUCUUCACAUUUAAGUCUUGAAGCGGCGGACGCAAAAAUUAUGAGCUAGAAUAGAAAAUGGUCGCAACAUGCUUCGCCUAUAAAACCCCAUUUUCUUCAAGCAAUUCGCAUCAGAACGGUCAUAAAUGAGUGCUGCUGCGUUCCCAAUUUUCUUUCCAACGCUUGUCUAUGGUCGAUGGGGCUUCAUAAUUUAAACAGCGUAAAAGUGAUGUAUAUAUAUUUAAGUACACCUAUAUAUACAUGUACAAACCGUGUAAAAAGUAUGGAAAAUAGAUACAAACGUUAUACAGGG